AUCUUUGCACAGUAUUGUAGUCAAUGAGGUUGAUCCAAGGCAUAAAUUAUUGCUAAUCGAAAACUUUCCCAAUACCCUGCUGUGAUGAUUUGCCAUAUAGUCAGCAUUGACAAUUUUUAAUAGUCUUUAUGAAGA
rnacentral:snRNA from 1 species